GACGAACGCUGGCGGCGUGCUUAACACAUGCAAGUCGAACGGAAAGGCCCUGCUUUUGUGGGGUGCUCGAGUGGCGAACGGGUGAGUAACACGUGAGUAACCUGCCCUUGACUUUGGGAUAACUUCAGGAAACUUGGGCUAAUACCGGAUAGGAGCUCCUGCUGCAUGGUGGGGGUUGGAAAGUUUCGGCGGUUGGGGAUGGACUCGCGGCUUAUCAGCUUGUUGGUGGGGUAGUGGCUUACCAAGGCUUUGACGGGUAGCCGGCCUGAGAGGGUGACCGGCGACAUGGGGACUGAGAGACGGACCAGACUCCUACGGGAGGCAGCAGUGGGGAAUAUGGCACAAUGGGCGGAAGCCUGAUGCAGCAACGCCGCGUGCGGGAUGACGGCCUUCGGGUUGUAAACCGCUUUCGCCUGUGACGAAGCGUGAGUGACGGUAAUGGGUAAAGAAGCACCGGCUAACUACGUG
rnacentral:rRNA from 1 species